rnacentral:snRNA from 1 species
AUCGCUUCUGGGCCUUUUGGCUAAGAUCAAGUAUAGUAUCUGUGAAAUCAUAAAUGAUAGAAUAGUUUGGGUUGGAAGGGACCUUAA